GAGCAGUCCCGUGGUGAUUUGGCCGGUCGGCUUGCAGCCACGUAAAAAAAAUCGCUAAAGGACCGUGGAGCACAAAAU
rnacentral:ncRNA from 2 species